rnacentral:rRNA from 1 species
UAGGGAAUCUUCGGCAAUGGACGGAAGUCUGACCGAGCAACGCCGCGUGAGUGAAGAAGGUUUUCGGAUCGUAAAGCUCUGUUGUAAGAGAAGAACGAGUGUGAGAGUGGAAAGUUCACACUGUGACGGUAUCUUACCAGAAAGGGACGGCUAACUACGUGCCAGCAGCCGCGGUAAUACGUAGGUCCCGAGCGUUGUCCGGAUUUAUUGGGCGUAAAGCGAGCGCAGGCGGUUAGAUAAGUCUGAAGUUAAAGGCUGUGGCUUAACCAUAGUAGGCUUUGGAAACUGUUUAACUUGAGUGCAAGAGGGGAGAGUGGAAUUCCAUGUGUAGCGGUGAAAUGCGUAGAUAUAUGGAGGAACACCGGUAGCGAAAGCGGCUCUCUGGCUUGUAACUGACGCUGAGGCUCGAAAGCGUGGGGAGCAAACAGGAUUAGAUACCCUGGUAGUCCACGCUGUAAACGAUGAGUGCUAGGUGUUAGACCCUUUCCGGGGUUUAGUGCCGUAGCUAACGCAUUAAGCACUCCGCCUGGGGAGUACGACCGCAAGGUUG